AUGCUGUGCAAGGAAACAUGUUGUCACGCCUUCAACAUUAUCGGCGACCUUUCUGAUUUGGAGUUGUACUUCGUUAUUGUGAAUAAUGAAUAUGGUCAACAAUCUGAAGAAGAGUCACCUUCUGCCGAGAGAGUGAUGCGUGUUACUGCCGGGAGAGCUGCUUCUUGCAGGGAGAGUGAUAUCAACCUGCGAUGUGUUAAGCGGAUCACUGUGUAA
rnacentral:rRNA from 1 species